rnacentral:rRNA from 1 species
AAACCAACAGGGAUUGCCUCAGUAACGGCGAGUGAAGCGGCAAAAGCUCAAAUUUGAAAUCUGGCACCUUCGGUGUCCGAGUUGUAAUUUGAAGAAGGUAACUUUGGAGUUGGCUCUUGUCUAUGUUCCUUGGAACAGGACGUCACAGAGGGUGAGAAUCCCGUGCGAUGAGAUGCCCAAUUCUAUGUAAAGUGCUUUCGAAGAGUCGAGUUGUUUGGGAAUGCAGCUCUAAGUGGGUGGUAAAUUCCAUCUAAAGCUAAAUAUUGGCGAGAGACCGAUAGCGAACAAGUACAGUGAUGGAAAGAUGAAAAGAACUUUGAAAAGAGAGUGAAAAAGUACGUGAAAUUGUUGAAAGGGAAGGGCUUGAGAUCAGACUUGGUAUUUUGCAAGCUUUACCUUCGUGGUGGAGUCCCCUGCAGUUUACUGGGCCAGCAUCGGUUUGGAUGGUAGGAUAAUGACUUGGGAAUGUGGCUUUGCUUCGGUAAAGUGUUAUAGCCCUUGUUGAUGCUACCUGUCUAGACCGAGGACUGCGUCUUUGACUAGGAUGUUGGCAUAAUGAUCUUAAGUCGC